rnacentral:rRNA from 1 species
GGGGGGGGGGGGGGGGGUGGGUGGGGGAGGCGGGUCGAGGGGACGGACGGGAAGCUUGCUUCUCUGAUGUUAGCGGCGGAAGGGUGGGUAACACGUGGAUAGCCUACCUAUAAGACUGGGAUAAGUUCGGGACACCGUCGCUAAUACCGGAUAAUGUUUUGAACCGCAUGGUUCAAACGUGAAAGACGGUCUGGCUGUCACUUAUAGAUGGAUCCGCGCUGCAUUAGCUAGUUGGUAAGGUAACGGCUUACCAAGGCAACGAUGCAUAGCCGACCUGAGAGGGUGAUCGGCCACACUGGAACUGAGACACGGUCCAGACUCCUACGGGAGGCAGCAGUAGGGAAUCUUCCGCAAUGGGCGAAAGCCUGACGGAGCAACGCCGCGUGAGUGAUGAAGGUCUUCGGAUCGUAAAACUCUGUUAUUAGGGAAGAACAUAUGUGUAAGUAACUGUGCACAUCUUGACGGUACCUAAUCAGAAAGCCACGGCUAACUACGUG